rnacentral:rRNA from 1 species
AAUAUUGGACAAUGGGCGAAAGCCUGAUCCAGCCAUGCCGCGUGUGUGAAGAAGGUCUUCGGAUUNUAAAGCACUUUAAGUUGGGCNGAAGGUCAGUAAUUCAAUACCUUGCUGCUUUCACGUUACCAACAGAAUAAGCACCGGCUAACUUCGUGCCAGCAGCCGCGGUAAUACGAAGGGUGCAAGCGUUAAUCGGAAUUACUGGGCGUAAAGCGGGCGUAGGUGGUUUGUUAAGUUGGAAGUGAAAGCCCCGGGGUAAACCUGGGAACUGCUUUAAAAACUGGCAAGCUAGAGUACGGUAGAGGGUAGUGGAAUUUCCUGUGUAGCGGUGAAAUGCGUAGAUAUAGGAAGGAACAUCAGUGGCGAAGGCGACUACCUGGACUGAUACUGACACUGAGGUGCGAAAGCGUGGGGAGCAAACAGG